UCUCUUGUACUUAUUAAUAUUGGUCUAUCUCUUUAUUAAUAAUUAAUCCCUUCAGAGUUCACUGGUUACUCUAUUGGUCCCAAUUGACAACAUUUAGAGCACAAAGGAGCUCUAAUUGUUACAACUAACAAAAGAUAUAGUACACAGGUACUCAAUUGAUCUCAACUGACAACCAAUUGAGCAUUUAAGGGAAUAUGGGAUAUUACAUUCUCCCCCCCUUAAAUUGAAAUUCGCCCCCGAAUUUCCUUUACUCAACAAACGAACAAUCCUUGUAUCAACAUCCUAGACCAACACUUGGCUUCUCUUCGAUUCCAAGUCUCUGACAUACUCAUUCUUCUAACUUGUCUUUGCUAUCAAAUUUCCUUCUUUCAUGAACUCUCGAAACUUCUUGAUUUCCAUCACAAUCUCAUUCUGAUAUUGGAUUAUCAUUUAAACUUGCUUCCACUUAAUUCAUCUGAUAUACCGCUCUACCUCAGUUGGUCACUUUCCUCUCAGAAUCCAUGACUUCCCUUCCUUCCAUUGAGUUACACCAAACAUAAUUACGACAUCUUAUCUCCACUUGGUUAAUCAAUACUCAUUAAUUCUUCAUAAGAAAAUUUAGUGAUUCCUUAACCACACACAAUAUUGACUACUCUGCUCUUGUUAUUAAGAUGUGUACCACCACAGAAAAACACACAUUCUGAAUACAUGAUCGGUUCCAUAAUCAUUGGUUCCACGAACCAUAACAAAUUCAUCAAUCAUAGGUGACUUCAUUCACCAUAAUACACAAAUAAUAUUAUGGCAUGUUCCAUACAAUGCGUCUCAUUCUUAAUCAUGGCAACAAUUCGUCCACGACCUCACAUAAGCGUCGUACGAAUGAAUACAGUAUUCUCGUACCUGUAUCUCACAUGUUCCAUAACCUAGAUUAUCUUUCUAAGUUAUUAAUCAAAUUAUUCUUCUAGCUUUCCUCACUCAUCUUUGUAAGGUUUUUAAUCAUGUUAUUUCACCUUCCACAUAACAACAAUAUUUAAUUUUUAUCAUAAUAAAAUUCAUGGCAUUUAUAAAUCACAUAAUAUUUUAUAACAUGGAACAAUAAUGAUAGCCCUUUACGUUAUCUUUCUAACGCAUCCGGCCGUGUCCAAAACGGAGUUACACCACUCAAUUAAUUCAUUAAUCUAUCUUAAUCAAGAUUUAGAUUAAUAUUUAUUUAUUGCAUAAGUAUUCAACAACAACCUCUCUAGCCUAGUGGUAAGGCUUGUACAGUUGUACGAACCCCACUGAUGACAAAUUUUGUACAGACAGAAAUUAAAUUCUAUUUCUGUGUUAACCGGUUAACACUGUAAAAAGAGGAAAAAUUCCAAUUUUCCAUUAAUUCUAAGUAACAUCUUUCCUUCAAUGCUAAAACUAUCUAAGAACUCACCUAGUAGAAGAAGAUGAAGUUGGUGAUGAUAAAGAUGAGGUGAUGGUGUUGAUGAACAUGAUCUUCUUCCUUCCUCUUCUUCCUCUUUCUCUUUUCUUCUUUCUUUCUCCUUCUCUUUUCCUCUUUCUUUCUCUUUCUCUUCUUUUCCCUUUUCUGAUAACUCUCUUCUUCUAUUUUUAUCCUUUCUUCUUUUCUUUCUUUCUAACCACACAAAAUACAUAUAUAUAUAUAUUUAUAAUAUCAAGUAGUAAUACAAAAUAUCCCCAUUGAUAUUUUGUCUUCCAGUACCAAUUGACCAAUUAUUAAUGUUACCAAAAAUAUCCUCUCUUGUACUUAUUAAUAUUGGUCUAUCUCUUUAUUAAUAAUUAAUCCCUUCAGAGUUCACUGGUUACUCUAUUGGUCCCAAUUGACAACAUUUAGAGCACAUAGGAGCUCCAAUUGUUAUAACUAACAAAAGAUAUAGUACACAGGUACUCAAUUGGUCUCAACUGACAACUAAUUGAGCAUUUAAGGGAAUAUGGGAU
rnacentral:lncRNA from 1 species